CAUGCUUUUUGCUAUGAAACCGCAGCCAUUUAGUCACUCGCCAGAGAAGGAUGAGAAACAGCACCCCAGCGAGAGGGACAGCCCCACAUCUGCAACCAAAUCCGUCGGUCACCGAAUUAAGUAAUCUCCGUCUCUUUGUGCAUUGUGUAUGUAUGGUACUCCCAAUUCUUAUAUUUAAUCCGGUGUGUCUCCCACAAUUUUUGUUCUGCUGUAUGUAUGUGGCACGCAAGUCUGCAUGCACUGUGUCUGUUAUGCCAGUUACUCUAACCAGUUUAUUUCUUUUUGUGUGUGUCACAGCUCUGACAAGCACGUUCUCUUAUGGAACACGAAGUACAUGAAGAGGAAUGAAGAAGCCCAUGUUUGAUGCUCGUCUCCAGGGUGGAGUAUUGAAUUUAUAACUAAUGAAGUGGCAUCUGACACAUGACAAGCUGCUCCUGUUUGCACAGCAACUUCAACAUUGUGUACUGUGAUCACGGCAUAGAUCAGAGGUAGGUAACCUUGGGCAGUCCAGAUGCUGUGAAUUACAUCGCCCAUAAUACUGGCAAACCAUUAUGGGAGAUGUAGUGCAAAACAUCUGGAAUACCGAAUGCGGAUGAAUGCAAAAUAUGGUGUGUGUGAAUGGUCAGUAACAAGGGUUGAAGCCUUGACGUGGCGUUACUGCUCACAUGUGUAUUCAUGUGCCAAUUCAACCAAUGUGAGUCACUGUAAUACUUAUAAGGUAACCAAAAGUACUGUGAUUGUGGAGAAUGAAACGCCUGUAUCACCUACACACUGUUUACACUGUGACCGUAUCUCCUAAACACUGCUUACCCUGUGACCGUAUCUCCUAAACACUGCUGACACUGUGACCGUAUUUCCUAAACACUGCUCACACUGUGACCGUAUCUCCUAAACACUGCUGACACUGUGACCGUAUCUCCUAAACACUGCUUACACUGUGACCCAAUCGCCUAAACACUGCUUACACUGUGAAUGUUAUUUUUUUUUUUCAAGUUAGUUUUAGUGUUUGCGGUUUCAUUGAUUUGUUAACCACUCUCCUCAAUCUUUUGUUCUGUGUUUUCUUACAUUUGUGGGAAGAACAAGGUGAUCCUCUCAAUUUUACACUCCUUUACUGAUGGUUCCGGUGCCAGAGACAAACCCACCACCAUUAACCUCGACCUGCUUAAACAGAAGAGGUUACCUUCUUCUAUAGAAAACGUCCAUAUGGCUGUUUUGGAACACAUGCUGCAGACAUGAUUUAACCUUCAUUUUCCAGUGAUUAAGAAUCGUGGACUGUCCAGGGAAAGAGACCAUUACAUUAUUAAGAUACUACCUUCCCAAUGUCAUACAGCCUUUCUUUAAAUGUGAUUGAACUUUCUCCUUCUUGGAUACUACAGUGUGACUUUUCUUAACCAGUUUCUAAAUUUGACUUUUAUAUUUUUUCCACUAUACAUAUAAAGUCUAAAUUGCAUAUUAACUUUGAAGAAAUAAAGUAUUUUGCUG